UUCCAUAAUUCCAAUGAACUGGCACUUCGACAAUGAUCUCCAAGGAAAAGCCGUUGUUACUGGCCAAGCCGGCGGCCGAGACUCUCCAGGCAGUGACUUCCCGUCCAGAAUCGGGGCCGAGCUUUUACCCACUGUGAAAGUUGACUGCAGAUGGACAAAAAUAGAAGUAAUCGUCCCCGGGGAGGACGAAAGAAUUACUUCUCACCGAACAGGGUAUUCAUAUGUUUACACACACCCGUUGUCGAUGAAGAUUAGUGAGACCGUGGACCCGGUCAUUCUGGACUUUUGCAGGCGCUAUAAGGUUUGUCUGGCCCAAGUGGGCCCAUCCAUGUGGAAGGUGGUGGCUAGCCUCCGAUAUUUCGCCACCUUGGCCGGUGUGAAUUUUACCAUCGACCAUUUAAUCCGUCUCUAUUCCCCGAAGUUCUCCCGGGGGAGGCGUGAUUAAUUUUUCCAAACGGGGUAGAAAGCCCAUCCUCACCAGCCUCGAUGAUGUCUAUGACAGAGGUUGGACAGAAUGAUUCGUAGUCAUAGCCACAGCUGAUUUACUUCCGAUCAGUAGCCAGCCCAUGCCAGACCGAUGGAACUCUACUCCUACUCUGUGGGAACCCUUAGAGAUUAAGAGAUUAGUUGAUUGGAUCUAGAGCAUUCGGGAUGUCUUUACUCCGGAGUCCAGGACAUGAAAUAACCUCUCCAUAAACCGUAACUGGAUACCCAGUAACCACGGUCUGCCCAAGACCGCUCCAACCAUUGAAGUGUCGGUUGAUGCAGCCGAGGCGAGCCUCCCUAUUAGUCAAACCAAACAGCAGAAGCAAACCCGCACGGGUCCCUAUGCCAGUUCCCGGUCCAGGGCUAAAUAGACUAAGAAGAACACCCUCAAGGAUUCUAGGGAAACAAGUAGGAAUCCUCCUCGAUUUCCCAAGGAACAAACCCUACCCUCCGUUACCACCGGUUUAUCCCUGGUGUUUGACUUAGACAACGAGGGGCCAGAAGAAGAGGUGACACCCUUAAAGAGGGGUAAAAGAAGAAACAGGCCUGAGGGCCCCAUCACUUUCUCCGGGGAGGAUGCUAUUCCCUUCGAAGGAUUAGAUCAUGCGGAGUGAAUGGACUCUCGAUUCCGAGCUCCCUUUGUUUCAUUUGUCGGGGAGCGUGCAUUUCCAUGUGCGACAACGUUAAAUUCUCCCUCUUCUACUUCUGCCACUCCUUCUCCAGCCGAACCGCCCGUACAACCAGCUUCAUCCCUUGAUCGUCAAAGGAGAUCGACUUUUCAGAACCGCCAAUCAUCUCCUCUCCCUAAGGAACUGUUGGACCAAUACCCGGCCCCGGUAGAUGACUCUUUUGGAUUGCGAAGCAUUUCUUUCAUGGUUCCAACGAAGUGCCACCUCCUAGCAAAGCCCGUUGGGGUGGCCAACUACAUGAAGCAUAUGGCCACCAAUAAAGACCAAAGGAAGAUGCACAAAGUCUCAUCCGAGUGCCUUAUCAAUGCUGGCAUGCAUGUUGCAGCCCAGCCAACCUUCUCUGUGGAAACGGGCUCCAGAGAAUGAUAGAGGAGAAAACUGAAUUUGUGGCUGAGAAGGACUCUGCCGUGGAACGGAUGCUGGCCGCUGAGGCCAAACUUUCAAAAAUUGAAGAGCUUGAGGCCAAGCUCGAGCAAGUGGAGGUGGAAAAGCAAGCUCACAGCCAACAGGCCGAUCUCCUCCAAACUCAAGUCGAUGGAGUGGAAAGGAAAAUGCAGCCAAACUCAGGACUCACUGAUUAGUAUGGUGGAGCGAGUAUUCGCUCUUGAAGCGGAUGUCCGAGUCCUUGAGGGAUGUCUCCGGGCCAAGACUUAAGGAGUCGAGGCAAUCUAGAAGGAGAACGAGGUGUUGUAGGUCAGAAUGUCCAGUUUGAAAAAUCGAAGAGAUAUUUAUAAUUUAAUAUCUAUUUAU